GAUGAACGCUGGCGGCGUGCCUAAUACAUGCAAGUCGAACGCGCAGCGAAAGGUGCUUGCACCUUUCAAGCGAGUGGCGAACGGGUGAGUAACACGUGGAUAACCUGCCUCAAGGCUGGGGAUAACAUUUGGAAACAGAUGCUAAUACCGAAUAAAACUUAGUAUCGCAUGAUACAAAGUUAAAAGGCGCUACGGCGUCACCUAGAGAUGGAUCCGCGGUGCAUUAGUUAGUUGGUGGGGUAAAGGCUUACCAAGACGAUGAUGCAUAGCCGAGUUGAGAGACUGAUCGGCCACAUUGGGACUGAGACACGGCCCAAACUCCGACGGGAGGCUGCAGUAGGGAAUCCUCCACAAUGGGGGCAAGCCUGAUGGAGCAACGCCGCGUGUGUGAUGAAGGCUUUCGGGUCGUAAAGCACUGUUGUAUGGGAAGAAAUGCUAAAAUAGGGAAUGAUUUUAGUUUGACGGUACCAUACCAGAAAGGGACGGCUAAAUACGUGCCAGCAGCCGCCGCAG
rnacentral:rRNA from 1 species